UAUAAAUAAAAGCGUACGUGUGAUUCGAUCGAGAGAGAGAGAUUGGUUUGGAUCGAUGAUCGUUAUUCGCAGUCGAGUAGGUCGUCGUUUCUGGUUUUGUUCCAAUACGUGUGUUUGUAAAUUAGAGUAUCGAGUCUAAUUUGGGAGCGGAGUAAGAUCGAUCAUUCAUGUCGACGACAAUCAAAUCAAUCCAUCGGUCGUCGUACGUUUUCAUAAUUAUUUUUGUAUUCUAGAGUUUUUGCUUCGUAAACUUCUUCACUGGUCCGCUAUUUGAGAAUGACGUUGUGUAACAGAGGGAUACGAUUAGGUCUCGUAAAUUCGUAAUCUCGAUCAUCUCGAAAGUAUGUUCUUAACAUGUUCGAUGUAAUUCCUUUUUUCUAGAGUAUUUUGAAACGGCUCACUUUCACUGCGUAGUUGGCCUCUCUUUUGCAGGUAGGUUCUUCUUGUUGCAAAAGGGAUGAAGAGGAUAUAAAUUUUCUUGCCAGUUUAAUAGUCAUCAAUUUUCUUGCCAGUUCAGGACUUGGUUUCUUGAAAAUCUCACUGGAUUUCUUGUUUUAAGACAUGUCUUUCUUUCUUAUAGGUUGUUUUUAUGACUGAUCGAGCCACCCUUCUCUUUUAGAGUGUACAAGAUUUGGUUUUGAGGCUCUUAUGGUUUUACAGCGGUGUAUAUAAGUGCUUGGUUUGCCGUAGUUGGUGUCCUAUUUGCUUCCUUUUCUUCGCCGUCAGUAUGUUAAAGAUGCAAAGGUAUGAAUGUUUCCGUAUUAUUUGUUUGCAACUAUCUUUUAUAAUUCAUUAAUUUUCUUACAUGAUCACACAAAUACCAUCUAGUUUUUAAAUAAAUAUAACUGAUUAGUGAAACAUUAGUCGAUCCACGAAAAGAUCAAAGCUAUGCUCCGCACGUUUGAUGA